ACACAUAUUGCUGUUUUUAAUCUUAGUACUGUGGUUUUCUGUUAACGCAGCUAUCUAGAACAUUGAUUUAUUUACAUUUUACAUUAUACGUAAACAUUAAUGAUUGUAAUGUGCCAGUUUAUAAAACGAAUACAAAUUCACUUAAAGGGCCUUAACUCAAGUAGAUGAAAUGAUAAAAUUGAUUUUUGCCAAUGGCUGUAAACAGAGAGAAAUAUGCUCUAUUCUUUGUGCAUCUGGAUUCAAAAUCAGUGAAAGACAUUUAAGAAGAUUAAUUAAAACCCUUGGUUUGAGGCGGAGGAGUUAUGACAGGCCCCUUGAAAAAAUACGUCAAGCUAUAAUGAGUGAGUUGAAACACUGGUCACCUUGGCAGGGAAUCCGUGCCAUGCACAAACGGGUACGUGAUGUCAGAGGAAUCCAGUCUUGCUACAGGAACGAUGUAGGUGUAAUAAUGGGAGAGCUUGAUGCCAGUGGUCUUAUUCGAAGAUGUCCUGGGAAAACAAAAUUGAACGAAGGAACUACUUUAGUCGUGGACCAAAUUAUACUUGGCACAUCGAUGGUAAGUACUA